UGCUGGAUCAUUACCUUGUCAAAAACAUACGACACAUUGUAUUUGUGGACGGACCAAAGCUGUGGCACCGACUCGCCACGGCUCCCGUUUGUUCACCACCGGUGGAGAAGACCAUGGUGCGCCCGGCUUGGGGCACAAUGAGCUAGCAGCCCACUCCGUUCCAGGCUCUAGCUCGACACCAUGCCCGUGGUCGAAAACGGCUGUGCUGGAUCCUAUGCGACGCGGAGCAGUUGUUGCCUCUAACAAUGUCCGUGGCUGCCGUGAGGCGUCGCGAUAGACCCCCCAUGCCUCUUGGGGAGGAGUAGGAUUAAUGAGUACCGAACUGGGUGCCGCCAGCAAAAUCAUUUUUCACUAAACAUUUUUCACAAACAAACAAAACAUAUUAGUCCAGCCGGUGGAUCACUCGGCUCGUAGUUCGAUGAAGAUCGCAGCCAAAUGCGAUAGAUAGUGCGAACUGCAGAUAUUCUGAGCACUAAAAUGUCGAAUGCACAUUGCACCUUGGGAUUUACAUCCCUCGGUACGCCUGGUUCAGGGUCGUUUCUCAAAAACGCAGCUGACUCCGCUGCUCGAUCGACCAUGGCACGAGCUUUUGUCCAGCCUCGGGACAGCUCCGGGCCUGGUCUUGUUGUGGUAGCCGUUGCGAAGUGGACUCAGUCCAAGGGCAACAGCCGGUCGUGCAUAACCAAACCAAGACUGGCUGAGACUCGCCUAGGGCUUGUCCGUUGCUUCGCUCGAUUCUUCGACCUGAACUCAGACGUGAUGACCCGCUGAACUUAAGCAUAUCAGUAAGCGGAGGAAAAGAAACUAACAAGGAUUCCCUUAGUAACGGCGAGUGAACAGGGAUCAGUCCAGCGCUGAAUCUCGACGUUUAGGCGUCGCGACGUGUAGCGUAUAGGCUGUGCGCUUGGCCGUGUCCGAAGGCACAAGUUUCCCAUGACUGGGGCGCCAGAGAAGGUGAUAGACCUGUAGCGCUUGAGGGCUAGGCUGAUUGCACUGUCUUGGAGUCGGGUUGUUUGGGAUCGCAGCCCAAAGUAGGUGGUAAACUUCAUCUAAGACUAAAUAUCACUACGAGACCGAUAGCGAACAAGUACCGUGAGGGAAAGUUGCAAAGCACUUUGAAGAGAGAGUUAAAGAGGACGUGAAACCGGUUGGAUGGAAACGGAUAGAGCCGGCGAAGUCGCUCGUAUUCAGCCAAAGGCUCGGGGUUGUUCCGCUGCUGGGUUGCUAAUCACGCUCGGCGGUGGUACGUGCUCCGGGUUGAGGUGCAUUUGCGGGUGUUUGCGCUGAGACUUGCGAGGUGGCUGCUGGACCCGUGCCUAGAGGCUUCUCUUCGGGGUUGUACCUGGUCGCGGUGACAGUUGUUCGCCUUGCUCGUACACGCGUCUGGCCUACGGACCUGGGUCGCGCUGCUGUCGGUGCGCGGUGGUAUCGCAUGCGAUGCCUAGUGUGCUGGCCGUGGUUUGGCUCGGUGUUCACGGACGUGCUCUCGGUGUAGAAGCUGGUCAUCUCUCCGACCCGUCUUGAAACACGGACCAAGGAGUUUAGCGUAUACGCGAGUCAUUGGGUGAGAAAACCCAUAGGCGUAAUGAAAGUAAAGGCUCGGUCGCCGGGCUGACAUGCGAGUGCUCCGGCUACGGCUAGGCACGCAGCAUGGUCCCGUUGUAGUGGCUUGCCACGCAGCGGAGACAGAGCGUAUGCGCUGAGACCCGAAAGAUGGUGAACUAUUCCUGAGCAGGACGAAGCCAGAGGAAACUCUGGUGGAAGUCCGAAGCGAUUCUGACGUGCAAAUCGAUCGUCUGACUUGGGUAUAGGGGCGAAAGACUAAUCGAACCAUCUAGUAGCUGGUUCCCUC
rnacentral:misc_RNA from 1 species